GUUUUCCAUCGGAACAAAAUCAUCCUUCUGACGGGUGCGUUUGCCGAAACCUUAGCGAGCUAGUAAUAGCGGUCCGCGCGACUCUAAAGAAUGUGGUCUCCUGGAUGUGUUUGUUAUACUCAGGACGCUGGUCAACCGUGUAGGUUGGCAACACCUUGAGUCUGCAGGAAUAUCCCUCGGCUAGAGGGAUAACCUGCACCUGGACCCUCCAUCACGCAGCGAUGGUCCACGCCACAGACUAAAUAAUGGUGGAUACCCCCUCUAAAAGGUAUUUCAGAUAUAGCCGCGUCCCAAUAUGUUGAAUGUUGGGGUACAACACGUUCCGUAGGUGAACCUGCGGAAGGAUCAUUA
rnacentral:rRNA from 1 species